AAAGAAAUAGUUAAAAAAUAACAUUAAAAUGUCAUUUUAAAAUUAAAUAAAAUAUUUAUUCUUUA
rnacentral:tRNA from 2 species